UAGGGGUGCAAGCGUUGUCCGGAAUCAUUGGGCGUAAAGGGUGCGUAGGCGUCCGGACAAGUUGAAUGUUAAAUCCUUCAGCUUAACUGAAGAUCUGCAUUCAAAACUGUCUGGAUUGAGUUUGAGAGAGGAAAGUGGAAUUCCUGGUGUAGCGGUGACAUGCGUAGAUAUCAGGAGGUACACCAAUGGCGAAGGCAGCUUUCUGGCUCAAAACUGACGCUGAGGCACGAAAGCGUGGGGGGAGCAAACAGGAUUAGAUACCCUGGUAGUCCACGCCCGUAAACCGAUGAGCACUAGAUGUCGGGGGUAUUCGACCCCUUCGGUGUCUUAGCUAACGCAAUAAGUGCUCCGCCUGGGACUACGACCGCAAGGUUG
rnacentral:rRNA from 1 species